GGUCUAUGAUGAAUAGUAAAAGGUCUGAUUAUCCCAGGACUUGCACUCCCAUGACCUUGGCUCCCAGCAGUCUCUCACCAGUCAUGGCACAGUAAUGGUGUGACUGGCAGAGUACUUGCUGACAGCUCGUGAUGUGUUCAGUUCACGUUAACCUGAAGUACUGGAGACGUGACUGUAAUCUGCAUCCAACAGUCCUACUUGAAGGAGUUCACGGUCUUGGGCUGUUAUAUCUGGACGUGUGAUCUGACUUUUCUGCUGAGACC
ensembl:scaRNA